GGGCCGAUGGUCUAGCGGUAUGAUUCUCGCUUAGGGUAACACCCUUGGCAAGCCAUGUGAGCAAUCACGUGACUAAUUUGCGAGAGGUCCCGGGUUCAAUUCCCGGUUGGCCCC